GCUGCCAUGGCAGGUUCAGGUCGCUAUAGCGAUGUAACAUCAUUUUAUAACCUUAUCUUGACAGGUUUCAGCCCCUAUUCUUCACAAUUUCAUUCUCAUCCCUAGAGGGGCGAUUUUUUCUUAGUUUGGGUGAAAAUUCUUCAUUGAGAUAAGAUUUUUACUUUUUUUUAACAUCCAUUGAUCCAUUUAUCUUCUAGAAUCACUAGAAUGAGGAAUAUAUGGUAAAAUUCUUGUGCUUUAGAACCCUAGAUUCAUGAAAUUGUGGGAAAACCCUAUGGGUAUAUGUAUUUUCACCAAGAAUUGAUUUUAGUUUGUGAAUUAACUCUACCUAGUGUUAAAUUAUGGUUCAAAAAUAUGAAAGUUGAUAGUUGGGGGCCUUGAAUUCCAUAAAGGUGAGACCUUUAAUUUUAAAGCUCCAUUAACGGACUUUGGUUGAACUUGAUAUAACUAAGUUGAUAAUUAAUUAAUCCUUGGAUAAAUUGGUAGGUCGUGAAUUAAAAUUAGUGGGUUUGAAUUCUCAAGAUAUUUAUGUGAAGAGAAGUUUAGUAAUUAUUCUUGUAAUUAUUGUUUAUUAGAUGAUUGAGCCUUCGAAAACGUGAAGAAGAAGGAAUAUCAUUCACGGUAUAACUUAUUUAUUGCAGCAGCUUGACGCCCAGAUGUGCCUGAAGGUUCUUUUAUUGUCAGAGCACAUACACCAAUGUCAAAUCUAUUCUCGUCUCUGGUUCAAUGAAGUUGACCGAUUUACUUCACGUGACUACUAAGCUUCGCAUUUACAUUCCUAAAACUGAAGAAUGAAUAUAGAUAAAUCAUUCCAUUUAAAUAUGUGUAAGAACAUAUUUUGCUUGAAACAUAAGUGUUCCACUAAUUGCUCAAUUGUUCUGUUGAGUUGUGAAGUUUUGAUAUUGCAACAACACCGCACCCAAAACUUAGCGUCCUUGUGCUAAAGCAAGUCUGCGAAACUUCAUCAUAUGUUUGAAUAUAUGCUUCUGAAGGACUGCGAGCGUAGGUCAUUGGUCAAGUUAUUUCAUCACAAAGAGCCAUCUGCACCACCUCCUCCAAAAAUAAGUUGAUAUUAUUCAUUCUUCACAACGACUUGAUUAUAUAUUUUGGGGCACGGAAUUGAUUUAAGUCUACGAAGUAGGUGAUUGGACUUUCCUGGAAUAUCUUUGAGCACCCUCUUCAUGUGAUUGAGGACGGCGUAGGAAGAUCGUGAGGUGUCACUGCAGCUUGAAUUACGAUAACAGUUGGAUAUUUUCUGAGACUUCUCCUGGGUUUGGAGCUGAACGAGUUUCACAAAGAAGUUUGUAAACAAAUGUAUUCAACUGUAGAGGAUCUUCCACCAGAGGAAACACUUGUAUUGUACAUACAGUACAUUGAAUAUGUAUCUUCUCAUUUCCAGCUAACACUGAUGAAAUUAGCGGUUUCCGCAAUAUAGAGAAGCUAUAUUAGUUUCAUAUAGUCAAACCCUAACUUGUUGUGAAAUGAAAUGAUCUUUCAGUUGC